UACGUAGGUGACUAGCGUUGUCCGGAUUUACUGGGCGUAAAGCGUGCGUAGACGGUUUUGUAAGUCGGAUGUGAAAUCCCCGGGCUCAACCUGGGAAUUGCAUUCGAGACUGCAAGGCUUGGGUGCGGAAGAGGGAAGCGGAAUUUCCGGUGUAGCGGUGAAAUGCGUAGAUAUCGGAAGGAACAUCAGUGGCGAAAGCGGCUUCCUGGUCCAGCACCGACGUUCAGGCACGAAAGCGUGGGGAGCAAACAGG
rnacentral:rRNA from 1 species